CGCCCGUAGAGUUUGAUCAUGGCUCAGAUUGAACGCUGGCGGUAUGCUUAACACAUGCAAGUCGAACGGAAACGAUGGUAGCUUGCUACCAGGCGUCGAGUGGCGGACGGGUGAGUAACGCGUAGGAAUCUGCCCAGUAGUGGGGGACAACCAGGGGAAACCCUGGCUAAUACCGCAUACACUCUACGGAGAAAAGGAGGCCUCUUCUUGAAAGCUUUCGCUAUUGGAUGAGCCUGCGUGAGAUUAGCUAGUUGGUGAGGUAAGAGCUCACCAAGGCGACGAUCUCUAGCUGGUCUGAGAGGACGAUCAGCCACACUGGGACUGAGACACGGCCCAGACUCCUACGGGGAGGCAGCAGUGGGAAUAUUGGACAAUGGGCGCAAGCCUGAUCCAGCAAUACCGCGUGUGUGAAGAAGGCCCUAGGGUUGUAAAGCACUUUCAGCCGUGAAGAAAUGCUUAAGGUUAAUAACCUUGAGUCUUGACGUUAACUGCACCAGAAGCACCGGCUAACCCCGUGCCAGCAGCAGCCGCGGUAAUACUGGAGGGUGCCAAGCGUUAAUCGAAUUUACUGGGCGUAAAGCGCGCGUAGUGGUUAGAUCAGUUGGGUGUGAAAGCCCCGGCUCCAAACCUGGGAAACUGCAUUCAAAUACCUGUCUAGCUAGAGUAUAGUAGAGGGAAGGUGGAAAUUCCGCAAUGUAGCGGUGAAAAUGCGUAGAGAUGCGGAGGGAACACCAGUGGCGAAAGGCGACUUUCCUGGACUAAUACUGACACUGAGGUGCGAAAAGCGUGGGUAGCAAACGGGAUUAGAUACCCCGGUAGUCCACGCCGUAAACGAUGUCAACUAACUGUUGGGCGGGUUUCCGCUUAGGUGUCGAAGCUAACGCGUUAAGUUCUCCGCCUGGGGAGUACGACCGCAAGGUUGAAACUCAAAGGAAUUGACGGGGGCCCGCACAAGCGGUGGAGCAUGUGGUUUAAUUCGAUGCAACGCGAAGAACCUUACCAUCCCUUGACAUACUAAGAACUUUCUAGAGAUAGAUUGGUGCCUUCGGGAACUCAGAUACAGGUGCUGCAUGGCUGUCGUCAGCUCGUGUCGUGAGAUGUUGGGUUAAGUCCCGCAACGAGCGCAACCCUUAUCCUUAGUUGCCAGCGCGUAAUGGCGGGAACUCUAAGGAGACUGCCGGUGAUAAACCGGAGGAAGGUGGGGACGACGUCAAGUCAUCAUGGCCCUUACGGGAUGGGCUACACACGUGCUACAAUGGCAGGUACAGAGGGUCGCGAUCCCGCGAGGGGGAGCCAAUCCCAGAAAGCCGAUCUGAGUCCGGAGCGCAGUCUGCAACUCGACUGCGUGAAGUCGGAAUCGCUAGUAAUCGCGAAUCAGCAAUGUCGCGGUGAAUACGUUCCCGGGCCUUGUACACACCGCCCGU
rnacentral:rRNA from 1 species